rnacentral:rRNA from 1 species
GCCAGUAGUCAUAUGCUUGUCUCAAAGAUUAAGCCAUGCAUGUGUAAGCACAAGCCGUAUAUGGUGAAGCCGCGAAUGGCUCAACGUUGAAACGUAGAUUCUUUGUCUACGAGACUUCUUAGAGGGACUCGGGGCGUCUAGCCUCACGAAAUGGAGCGAUAACAGGUCUGUAAUGCCCUUAGAUGUCCGGGGCCGCACGCGCGCUACACUGAAGGAAGCAACAAGCUAUACCCUGGUUCGAAAGGACUGGGUAACCUUGUGAAACUCCUUCGUGAUUGGGAUAGGGACUUGCAAUUAUUUCCCUUGAACGAGGAAUUCCUAGUAAGUGUGGGUCAUCAUCUCGCGUUGAUUACGUCCCUGCCCUUUGUACACGCCGCCCGUCGCUACUACCGAUUGAAUGAAAUACUGAAAUUGACGGAUUGGUCUUUUGGUGGCUUCGCGGCUGCCAUUGUGACUGAGAAAUCACUUAAAGUGUUUCAUUUAGAGGAAGUAAAAGUCGUAACAAGGUUUCCGUAG